UGUGAGUUUUCGAAUUCUGGAUUUCAGAAUCAAAAUCCAGAAGCACAAGCACAAUUGGAUCUUUAACACGCCUGCUGAUGCUGAUGCUGUGGGCUUCACGAUUACCAUCAGAUAAUUAAGCAUCCAAUGAAUCUCGGAAUGGUGAAAUCCAAUUUCGCAAAGAAUUUGUACGCCUCGCCAUCUGAUUUUGCUGCGGAUGUGAGAUUGACCUUUAACAAUGCCAUCUCUUGGCUCGAUUUGAGGACUUGUUUCGACCCAUAAACAAGAAGUUUGAUGAUGGUGAUCAUAAAGAACAGAUUGUUCCUGCUGAUGAAUUACAGGGGAGUUCAUGGAAUCACACUCCAACUCCAGAAAGAGCAAAGAAGCCUAAAGCAUAGGUGCACAGAAAGUCGAAAAUGCCUGCAUUGCCUUUCGCAACUUCUGUGAGGAACAGAACAUCAUUGAUUAUGGGUUUGGGGCGCUGUGGCGGUGGUUGGGUGUGGUGCGCCAUGGUGGUGGUUGCUGGCUGUAGCGGUGGAGAAGAUUAUAAAAGAGAGGGAAGGAAUACGUAGAUCUGGAGAUGGACGAGGACAAUCAGUACAGGGGGUCCUUCAAACCUGUUGGCAAAAUAGGGAAGAAUUUAAUAAAGAAAUUUAAGAUGGGUAAAGGGAAGCGUCGUCGUGGCAAGGGCAAGAUCAGGAGGAAGCACAUUUAACUGUGUAUAACUGGUAAUGGUAAUGAAUUUUCCUUUGCACAACUGGCAAUGGUAUCGCUGCCUUCAAUGUUGCAUUGUCUGCAAUGUUCUACAUUGUGAGAGCAGCGGUUUUAUUGAUUAUGAUAUUAGCAUUUUUUUCUUUUAAAAUUUCCUUGUUCUUUAAAUAUUUGAGAUGUUACUACUGAAACAAGAGUUGUCACUACCACCAAAUGCUAAUUAAUAGACUAGUAGAAACUUGUUUAUUUGAAUUUUCUGAUCCCAGCUUAUUGAUUGCU